rnacentral:tRNA from 1 species
GGCUCCAUAGCUCAGGGGUUAGAGCACUGGUCAUGUAAACCAGGGGUUGUGAGUUCAAGUCUCGCUGGGGCCU